rnacentral:lncRNA from 1 species
UUAAUUGAACCAACGAAAGAUUGAUAAUUAUGCACCAACAUUCUAUUAAAAUCUACUUUUUAGGUGUUGUAAAUAGAUUUUAUGUAACUAACUGUUUACCCUACAGUUGGUUUUAUUAUGAUUAAUUAUUAAUUAUUGUUGUACAUCGUGGAUUUUUUUAGUUGUUUGUAAGCAUGCUUAUGAGUUUGAUUAUAUUUCAGCAUUGGUUCCAACUAGUAUUUAUGGGUAUCUCUUUAGAA